AACGAACGCUGGCGGCAGGCCUAACACAUGCAAGUCGAGCGAAGCCUUCGGGCUUAGCGGCGGACGGGUGAGUAACGCGUGGGAACGUGUCCUUUGGUACGGAAUAGCCCCGGGAAACUGGGAGUAAUACCGUAUGUGGUCGAGAGACGAAAGAUUUAUCGCCAAAGGAUCGGCCCGCGUUGGAUUAGGUAGUUGGUGGGGUAAUGGCCUACCGAGCCGACGAUCCAUAGCUGGUUUGAGAGGAUGAUCAGCCACACUGGGUCUGAGACACGGCCCAGACUCCUACGAGAGGCAGCAGUGGGGAAUCUUAGACAAUGGGGGAAACCCUGAUCUAGCCAUGCCGCGUGAUCGAUGAAGGCCUUAGGGUUGUAAAGAUCUUUCAGUGGGGAAGAUAAUGACUGUACCCACAGAAGAAGCCCCGGCUAACUCCGUGCCAGCCGCCGCGGUAAGAC
rnacentral:rRNA from 1 species